ACCAGUAUUGAGUCUUCCUAUAUUCAUAUAGAAAAGUUGAUGUUAGAACUAGUAACGUAGAAUUUUUCUCCCAAUGUAAGUGUAAAUCAGAUCGAAUAACUCACUGAUAAUUAUACGGCUAUGAAAUCAACGUAGCAACCACCAACCAUGAAAACCCUACUGCUUCACCCGUUAACCUAACACAAGAACAUUAAAGAAAGAUUAAAAGACAAAGAAGGAACUCGGCAAACCCAAGUCCCGCCUGUUUACCAAAAACAUCGCCUCUUGAAAACUAUAAGAGGUAAUGCCUGCCCAGUGACAUGUGUUYAACGGCCGCGGUAUUCUGACCGUGCAAAGGUAGCGUAAUCACUUGUCUUUUAAAUAAGGACUAGUAUGAAUGGCAUCACGAGGACUUAACUGUCUCCCUAAUUUAAUCAGUGAAACUGAUCUUCCAGUGAAAAAGCUGGAAUAAUUUCAUAAGACGAGAAGACCCUAUGGAGCUUUAAAUUUAAAACUAAUUGUAUUAUCUGCCAAAUCAAAUGUCACUAAUAUACAAAUUUAGCCUAAAUUUUUAGUUGGGGCGACUAUGGAGAAAAACCCAUCCUCCAUGAAAACAUACCUUGAGCCACCACUCUAAGUGUUAGUAAAUCUAAAUUUAAUUGAUCCUUUUUGAUCAACGGACCAAGUUACCCUAGGGAUAACAGCGCAAUCCAUUUCAAGAGUCCCUAUCGACAAAUGGGUUUACGACCUCGAUGUUGGAUUAGGACAUCCUAGUGGUGUAGCCGCUACUAACGGUUCGUUUGUU
rnacentral:rRNA from 1 species